rnacentral:rRNA from 1 species
GGAUAGGAUCAUACCAGCACUAACGCACCGGAUCCCAUCAGAACUCCGAAGUUAAGCAUACUUGGGGGAGAGUAAUACUAGGAUGGGUGACACCCUGGGAAGUCCUCGUGUUAUAUCCC